UCAAACGAAUUCCAAGAGGAGAGAAAGAGAAAUCUAGGUCUUGCUCGCCCACCGCGUCGUGAAAUUUUGAUCUGGGCACUCCAACAAGAGGCGAAGAACACCACAUUGAAGGUACUCGCGCGUGAAUUCUUAGCUUGGAUUGUUCUGGCUUGAAUACAUAUCUUCCCAUCUCUACAAAACUUUGUUUUCCAGGUAGAUUCUCGUAGAAAGUACGCGCUUCGAAAGAAAUGGGCACGAAUUCUCUACGCUAAGAAACGUUAUCUACUUUUCUCCAUACGUAUCUCGUUCGUCUCCAUUUCUUUCCCAAUUUCCACUCGAGGUACGCUAUCCUUUGGUCAAAAGCUUCUUUUUUUUCCUUCUUCUUCCUCUUUUGUUCGUGCGUAAGCACUACGUAAGUGUGAUCGAGAGAUCUCUCGCAUGGUUUGGCAGUGAAUUCGUGUGCUUGUGUGUGUGUUGCUACCAUUGACGGUGGCUGUCGCUGUGGUCCCUCCUUCCACUUUGUCCUUUCUUCCACUCAGUGGAGAACAUCUCAUUCGUUUUCUGGCGAGAGCUAAAGUUGUGGAGAGAUAGCCUGUGCGUGUGUGUGUGUGAGUAUGUACUUCUGUUCCUCUUCCUGAGGCUGCCCCCUUUGUUUCUCAUUGUUUUUGCUCGUCCCCCUUUUCAACAGGCUCCGGGUUUCCAUCGUCGCUGCGCAAAAAUGGCUUCUUUUCGCAAGAUAGUGCUUGCAUCACUACUAUCAUGCUUGCUCCUCGCCGCUGUUGCCACUGAAACCGAAGGUAGAGCGAGCCUUUCUCUCUUUUGUUUUCUCCUUUUUUACUCUAGAACCGAUUGUGUUCCUGAUUCUUCCGUGGAAUUCUAGCAGAUGAGAGCUUGGUGGCUGCACAGGACCAGGUAAAUACUCUUGUUUUCUCUUUUUUCGUACUGUUCUUUAGCCGCGUGAUAGGAUCUCUCUUAACUUUCAUUCGUUCGUAUUGCAUGAUCUCACCCCCACUGUGUCUUCGCCUUUAGAGACUAGUAGAUGAGGUAAAAAUCUCUUUUUUUUGCUGCGUUUCGCCACUGUUCUUCGCGUAAUCUCCAGUUCUUAAAGCUCUUCGUUUUCGCCAAGUAACUUAUACUUCCUAUUCUUCAGGCUCUUAACUUCGAGCGUGGAUUCGCCAUGGAACAGAUGCUAUCACGGAUCCAGAGCAAAAAGCUUCGUCGCGAGAGAAACUUGGUCCACACAAACGACUACGCCGAUCCAUCGCCAAACACCGAUCCAAAGCGCGGCCCGCCAAAAUCCGGAUAAGUAUAGAACUCUUUUGGAAGCGCGUGUAAAUUUACUCUACACGGAUAUCAAGUCCAUGGUUGUUUUUAUACAUGGCUGACUCUUUGGCUUCCUCAAAGGAAGCAUAGUGUGGUUUUGCUGGCCAGCAUCAACAAUGAAUCUAUAAUAUACAAAUGGUUUGUGGCUUAUAAUGCUGGUAGAAUAGUGUUCUAUCAAUUUAUAAGCAGCAGCUUGCAGAGAGGCCAGCCACAAUAUAUGACCACUUUGAUGGUGUGAGCUGACCGAGUGGAACAAGUGUUGUUGUAAGAGCUAGGGAGAGUUUAAAUGUGAGUGUGGAGCUUCCGGAGAAGCAUAGAGAAAGCAUGGGCGUGUUUGCGAGAAGCAUGCGUUUGCUCGUUUGUCUCAUGAUCUUUGCUGCAGUGUUGAUCUCACAAGCUGAAGUUGAAGCUUUCAAGGAUGGAACAAAAGGUAACUUUUUCCAUGGUUUUCUUCCUGCUAAGAUGAAUGCAAGCUUAAAAAGAGUCUCUCUUUUUGCUCACAGUGGAUAAGGUUUCUUUGCCAAGGAAGGUUGUGAGGAAUUUCAAAAUGCUGGUAAGUUCAUUCUCAGAUCUUUUGAGAUGUUUAAAAUCUGUGGAGCCUUGUUCUGCACUUGCAGGAAGAUAAAAAGUACCAUUCAAUUCAUGUCACUGAUUACGAUGACCCUUCACACAACACACGGCCAUGAUAAGAGAAAGAACUCGGACCCCCACUGUCUUUCAACUCCUUGUUCUCCCCUUCGACUAUCUUUUGUCCUCGUAACUGAGUUUAACAAAAUCACUGUUCAGAAUAUUCUAUGAUGAUUUAUAUUGCUUAAGAAUAAUCGAAAUCCUUAGUAGUAUAAUUAUGAACUCUUUAAAUUCAACAUGACAUAUGAUACAGUGGAUUACAG
rnacentral:lncRNA from 1 species